rnacentral:lncRNA from 1 species
GCAGCUACUACUCUCUAGAGAAGGCCUGUGGAUCAUCUUCAUUGUCAUCGUCAUCUGCGUAUCUGCAUCCUCAUCACUGCAUCAUCACCAGCACCAUUUAUUAAACACAAGGCCAGAUGUUUUAUCCUGCUGUGUUAAGUCAUCUUGACAUGUUGCCAUGAAAUGGAAACAACUGCUCGUUUUAAUAUUGCUCCAUAUCUUUAUUACAAGAUGCUUUUAUGGUUCUACAAAUCGGGGUUGCCCAGGACAAGGAUAACAGCAAGAAAUAUCUCAAAUUCCCUCUAAAAUCUCUAAGAUCUAAUUAGCACUUAUGUGGAAAAGCCAUAUUCCUAAUAAAAAUAAGAUACAGAAACCUCCA